GCCUGGGUGGCUUGGUCGGUUAAGCGUCCGACUUCGGCUCAGGUCAUGAUCUCACGGUCCGUGGGUUCAAGCCCCGUGUCAGGCU
rnacentral:tRNA from 1 species